GGAUGGGAUCAUACCAGCACUAAAGCACCGGAUCCCAUCAGAACUCCGAAGUUAAGCGUGCUUGGGCGAGAGUAGUACUAGGAUGGGUGACCUCCUGGGAAGUCCUUGUGUUGCAUUCC
rnacentral:rRNA from 1 species